rnacentral:lncRNA from 1 species
UAAGCAGAGGUUCAGAGUCUCUUCCCCAGAGCCCGUGCUAAGAAGACAAGCAGCACGUGUGAUGCUGUGUGCUGUGAAGCCAGCACAGGCAUGGCAGGCAGUUGGCUGGUCAGGGGCUUCUGCAGGGAGAGGCGAUUGUUGCCAAACUGGACAACACAAGCUCACUUUCCAGGGCCUGUGUGAUCGAAGGAGGUGACUGACAUGUGCAAACUUCCUCUAACUCUGGCGAGAGACACACUCAGCAGGAGAAGAAUUUGCUCCUCUUGGAGAAGACUCGGCUUUGGUCGCCAGCACCCUCAUGGCAGGGAUGAAGGCAAGAAUCUGCUGAGACCAGUGGUAGAGAGCAGAGGAACACGUAAACCCCUGAAGGAUGGCUUUCCAUUCCUGAGAGUGCUUUCUAGAGGACACCCAACAGUGAGCUAACUGGGCCGGGGGUGGGGGAGGGAGAACAGAAGCUCCUCAUGACUUGGGAAGAUUACACAUGAAAACGUGGAUUGACUGGCUUCCUUAUGUCAUAUGAAGAUGGAAUUUUUUUUUCUUUCAAAUCAAUCUCUUAUGACAAGUAUCAGGGGAUCAUUUCAUGGAAAUCUAUGGAACCCCAACAAUCAGAGGCCAACACUCAAGUCUGACACCUCCCAGGUCUGUCUCUAGGUACAGUGUGCAGUUUGCGUGUGCUUCUCUUGAAUUCUCUUCAAGCAAGGAACUGUGGCACCACAGCCUACUGAGUGAGAUCACAAAGGCAGAGGGAGAGACUUUCUGUUGACCUUAACAGCAGUGGCCUGUCAAGCCAUCCCAAUGAGAUGAAUUUGAACUCUGAUGCUGUCAGUUACUCAUUGCUAACUCACUCCAACCUGGCAAGCUCUUCAAAUGUAACCGUCAUCUUCCAGCAAGGGGCUCACCCAGUAAGUGGGGAUGUAUCACAGCCAAAGGCACAACGCUCUGGCAAGAUCCUCGAAGUUUCCAUUUCUACUGUCAAUCUAAUCCAUGUCACCAGAUUUCUUUGGCUUUAAUGUCAUGGCUUUCAGUAUCAUUGACCCAAAAGCUUGCUAAUAUCUAAAAUCAGCGUAUCGAAUGUAUCCAUCUCAUCAUCCAGAAAUGUUUAAACAAAUGAGAGGGGUGUGUGACUUGAAGAUAGCUGGUAUGAAAGCAGAAGUGGGAACGAUCUGAGGGAUGAGAGGAAGUGGGCAGAGGAGAAAUGGGAGGGUUGUGACUCAUGUAUAUGCAAAUGCCAUCAUGAAACCCAUUGUGUGUAUGCUGACUAAAAGAUCAACUUACAGCAUGUUUUAAUAUGAAAAAUAAAAGGAAUGGGGGUUGAAAGACA